UUACACUCUUGUCUGUAAGUCUCGUUCUCUUUGAUCAGUGUUUUUAGAUGAUAUUAAGGAAGGAUUAAGCGCAUGGUUGAUGAUGCAUCGGUUCUUCGUUCUCUUUGAUCAGUGUUUUUAGAUGAUAUUAAGGAAGGAUUAAGCGCAUGGUUGAUGAUGCAUCGGUUCUUUUUCUCUUCGUUUUGGUGUUAGUUUUUAGAUAUUUUAUUUUCUGUUUUUUCAUCUAUGAAUUUUGAGUCAGAACUCUGGUUUUCUUCUUCUUGUUGUUUCUGCUCUGAAUAAUGAGUGACUAGAUUUUCAAGUUCGAAGAUGGUAGUUAAAACACUAUGGAUAGGUAUAGUAAGGAGGAAAAUUGACCCAUUGAGCUUUACUCGGGUUCAAAUUUGUUUUUGACAGUUCCACCAUUGCUCAUUUUGGUUUUGUGGGCCAACUUUUAGUUAGGUUGAAAUAUGGAAGAGAAAGAGUAAUUCUUGGUCAGAUUUGAUGUCUUUUACUGGUGGGUAUGUUUCAUAUUGAUGUGGAUGUUCUGGUUUGCAG
rnacentral:lncRNA from 1 species